rnacentral:lncRNA from 13 species
AAUUAGGAAAUCAGGAUGGUUCUUAUGGCUCAAACCUGAAGGAUUGGCUCCUCUUUGCUAGGUGCUGGACUGCUGUGAUGGACAGGAUGCUCAGUCUUCGGAGUUUUGCAUGCCCCAGUAAAACUUUGGAUUUUACUUAAGGGAAACUCCAUUAUUAAUGAUUGGAGAUGUAUUUAAUUCAUCGGAACUUGAGAGAAUAGAAGACCAGCUGUCACUAUCAUUUUGGAAGAAAAGGAAGGAAGGAACAAUUGAUCCUAGGCAGCAGAGAGAAACAACAGGCCAAGGUAAGUGCUCUAUAAUGUUCCCUUUAAUGUAUAUUCAAUUAGAUAUGCAUUUUGAUACUGAGAGGCAUUUAAGUUGCUUUUUUCCUACAAGUUGCUUUUAUGAACGUUGUCAUAUGUAUCUGUUUGCAUAAGAGUAAUUCUAGGGUAUAUCCCCUGGGAAUAUAAAUUUUGGGACAUUACUAAGGGAAUCUUCAACCUUACUGGGCAUUGCCGAAUUUUAACCCAAAAUCACCGAGUCUGUAACAUUUUCUAUUUAUAUGUUGAUAGUAAAUGGGAAUCCCCUUUGCUUUACAUUUCAUUAGAAAUUUGUAUUGUCAGGCUUUUUAUUUAAAGUUAGGAUUGUACGUAUAUAAUGGCAUCACAUAAUGCUUUUAAUUUAAACCUUCCUGAUUAUCAUUGAGAUUGAUUAUCCUUUUAUUUGUUUUCCGACUGUUGAGCUGAUCUCUUCUGUAAACUUUCUGUCAACUAAAAAAUUUUUUCAGUUGGG